rnacentral:sRNA from 1 species
AAAUCCCAGUAGUCGGGUGUGACACUUU